GUAGCUUGCUACUGGACCUAGCGGCGGACGGGUGAGUAAUGCUUAGGAAUCUGCCUAUUAGUGGGGGACAACAUCUCGAAAGGGAUGCUAAUACCGCAUACGUCCUACGGGAGAAAGCAGGGGAUCUUCGGACCUUGCGCUAAUAGAUGAGCCUAAGUCGGAUUAGCUAGUUGGUGGGGUAAAGGCCUACCAAGGCGACGAUCUGUAGCGGGUCUGAGAGGAUGAUCCGCCACACUGGGACUGAGACACGGCCCAGACUCCUACGGGAGGCAGCAGUGGGGAAUAUUGGACAAUGGGGGGAACCCUGAUCCAGCCAUGCCGCGUGUGUGAAGAAGGCCUUAUGGUUGUAAAGCACUUUAAGCGAGGAGGAGGCUACUCUAGUUAAUACCUAGGGAUAGUGGACGUUACUCGCAGAAUAAGCACCGGCUAACUCUGUGCCAGCAGCCGCGGUAAUACAGAGGGUGCGAGCGUUAAUCGGAUUUACUGGGCGUAAAGCGUGCGUAGGCGGCUUAUUAAGUCGGAUGUGAAAAUCCCCCGAGCUUAACUUGGGAAUUGCAUUCGAUACUGGUGAGCUAGAGUAUGGGAGAGGAUGGUAGAAUUCCAGGUGUAGCGGUGAAAUGCGUAGAGAUCUGGAGGAAUACCGAUGGCGAAGGCAGCCAUCUGGCCUAAUACUGACGCUGAGGUACGAAAGCAUGGGGAGCAAACAGGAUUAGAUACCCUGGUAGUCCAUGCCGUAAACGAUGUCUACUAGCCGUUGGGGCCUUUGAGGCUUUAGUGGCGCAGCUAACGCGAUAAGUAGACCGCCUGGGGAGUACGGUCGCAAGACUAAAACUCAAAUGAAUUGACGGGGGCCCGCACAAGCGGUGGAGCAUGUGGUUUAAUUCGAUGCAACGCGAAGAACCUUACCUGGCCUUGACAUACUAGAAACUUUCCAGAGAUGGAUUGGUGCCUUCGGGAAUCUAGAUACAGGUGCUGCAUGGCUGUCGUCAGCUCGUGUCGUGAGAUGUUGGGUUAAGUCCCGCAACGAGCGCAACCCUUUUCCUUACUUGCCAGCAUUUCGGAUGGGAACUUUAAGGAUACUGCCAGUGACAAACUGGAGGAAGGCGGGGACGACGUCAAGUCAUCAUGGCCCUUACGGCCAGGGCUACACACGUGCUACAAUGGUCGGUACAAAGGGUUGCUACACAGCGAUGUGAUGCUAAUCUCAAAAAGCCGAUCGUAGUCCGGAUUGGAGUCUGCAACUCGACUCCAUGAAGUCGGAAUCGCUAGUA
rnacentral:rRNA from 1 species